rnacentral:rRNA from 1 species
UACGAGGGGGGCAAGCGUUGUUCGGAAUUAUUGGGCGUAAAGGGUGCGUAGGCGGUUUGAUAAGUCACAUGUGAAAUCUUCGGGCUCAACCCGAAGUCUGCAUGCGAAACUGUCGGGCUUGAGUAUGGGAGAGGUGAGUGGAAUUUCCGGUGUAGCGGUGAAAUGCGUAGAUAUCGGAAGGAACACCUGUGGCGAAAGCGGCUCACUGGACCUAACUGACGCUGAUGCACGAAAGCUAGGGGAGCAAACAGG